GAUGAACGCUGGCGGCGUGCCUAACACAUGCAAGUCGAACGAAGCUUGACGGAUGAUUUCUUCGGAAUGAAACCUGAUAUGACUUAGUGGCGGACGGGUGAGUAACACGUGAGCAACCUGCCUUUCAGAGGGGGAUAACGGCUGGAAACGGUCGCUAAUACCGCAUGAUGUGUUCGGAUGGCAUCAUCUGAACAUCAAAGAUUUAUCGCUGAAAGAUGGGCUCGCGUCUGAUUAGAUAGUUGGUGGGGUAACGGCCUACCAAGUCGACGAUCAGUAGCCGGACUGAGAGGUUGAACGGCCACAUUGGGACUGAGAUACGGCCCAGACUCCUACGGGAGGCAGCAGUGGGGAAUAUUGCACAAUGGGGGGAAACCCUGAUGCAGCAACGCCGCGUGAAGGAUGACGGUUUUCGGAUUGUAAACUUCUUUCUUAGUGACGAAGACAGUGACGGUAGCUAAGGAUAAGCAUCGGCUAACUACGUGCCAG
rnacentral:rRNA from 1 species